AUGGGAUGCAAUCAUCUUGUUGUUAACACUAACAAUAUUAAAGUGAUUGACACAAUGGAGAAUGGAGGACAUUCAGCAGGAGCGGCGGAAGUCCUAUUCGAUGAUUGUUAUGUUAUGGCGUGUGAUUUUCCUCUUAUUGUCUUUGAACAUUGUAAUAGGAAAGUAAAUAAGGUUGCUCAUGAACUUGCUAGGUUAGCUAAAUUCUCUAUGACAAAGGAUUGGUUUGAGAAACCAAUGAAUGAUACUGUGCCUUUUCUUAUUAACAAUGUAAUCAUUAUCUCGAGUAAAUAA
rnacentral:rRNA from 1 species